CGAUGAGGUAGAGGUUGCGAAUGUGAUCAGUAAACGUGCCGAGGUGAAGAGACACCGAUGACGCACGCUGAAAGGCACCUUCGCCGAAGUGGACGGCUGCGCUCUAGCUCCGUCUGCUGGGCCCGUUUUCGAAAGGAACGGGACUGUCACGGGGACGAAUCCUUGCGCUUCCCGUGUUGCGCUAUCUUCAUG
rnacentral:ncRNA from 2 species